GGAGACCACCUUAAUAAUAAUCAGUGAGCGGUAGGCUCCUUCGGGAGUACACGAGCGGCGAACGGGUGAGUAACACGUGAGCAAUCUGCCCUUCUCAUCGGAAUAACCAUUGGAAACGAUGGCUAAUGCCGAAUAUGACCUCGGAACACAUGUUCUGAGGUGGAAAGCUCCGGCGGAGAAGGAUGAGCUCGCGGCCUAUCAGCUUGUUGGUGAGGUAAUGGCUCACCAAGGCAUUGACGGGUAGCCGGCCUGAGAGGGUGACCGGCCACACUGGGACUGAGACACGGCCCAGACUCCUACGGGAGGCAGCAGUGGGGAAUAUUGGACAAUGGGCGAAAGCCUGAUCCAGCAACGCCGCGUGAGGGAUGACGGCCUUCGGGUUGUAAACCUCUUUCAGCAGGGACGAAGCGAAAGUGACGGUACCUGCAGAAGAAGGACCGGCCAACUACGUGCCAGCAGCCGCGGUAAUACGUAGGGUCCGAGCGUUGUCCGGAAUUAUUGGGCGUAAAGGGCUCGUAGGCGGUUUGUCACGUCGGGAGUGAAAACUCAGGGCUCAACCCUGAGCGUGCUUCCGAUACGGGCAGACUAGAGGUAUGCAGGGGAGAACGGAAUUCCUGGUGUAGCGGUGGAAUGCGCAGAUAUCAGGAGGAACACCGGUGGCGAAGGCGGUUCUCUGGGCAUUACCUGACGCUGAGGAGCGAAAGCAUGGGGAGCGAACAGGAUUAGAUACCCUGGUAGUCCAUGCCGUAAACGUUGGGCGCUAGGUGUUGGGACCUUCCACGGUCUCCGUGCCGCAGCUAACGCAUUAAGCGCC
rnacentral:rRNA from 1 species